GUAAGGCUGAGGCAACAGCCUUUAUAGAGCACAAUUUGCAUAAGUUAUCAAGAUACAUCUUGUAUACAAUCACAAAACCAAGACAUAUUUUUACACAGAGUAAAACUCAAGACAGAUUUACAAGCAUUUUUUAAUACAAUUCUCAUGUAUUUGAGUUCAAUUUAUACAACCUUUUUGUCCAAGAAUUUGUAUUUGUUCAUUAGAUUUUCCAGAGAGAUUUGUGUAGAACAGAAAAAAAGAACACAGGAAAUCACCAACACGGCAUGCAACAUAUAGCUAGAAACAAGACAUAUCCAAGACUUUAUUUUUUUAUUUUGAAAUCAAUUUUAUUAGGUUAUUAUUUUUCAGACAAGAAUUUUUUUCCUUUAACAUCAGUUGUGUUUUUGUUCGGAUAUCAGAACAUACGUUAAUCAGUAGUAGGAGCACCUGAGCACAUCACCAACAACUAUACAGACACAAUCAAACGAUAAUCAUAUUCACAUGCUGAAUGCCAGAUGAAAUUAAUAUUUCAACUUUGUCUAUUUUACCAAAGGUAUAGUUAUGUACACGGUAACGAAUUAAGAAAAUGCUCUCAACCUACCUGUCAGAUAAGGAAUCAUUUGGUUAAGUGAUUUUGAUUUAAUGGGUAUCUUUAAUAAUAACAACAUGGACCAUACACAAAACAUCAAUGUGUCAUAUUCAAUGAGAAUAUCUGUUUGCUCAUUCAUUCUUAUAUUACAUCAAAGGCAAGUAAUUAUUAAAGAGACAGCUCAUAAUUAUUCAUUGAACUUUCUUUCACUUCCAUCUCAGGCUUGAAAAGAGGGAAAGUCACUCUGUCACACAUAGAGUUAUAAACACAUAUAUAGCUGUAGUUGGCUGCUUUUGGAAUCUUAGACAUUGUAGCAAUGAAAAUAACCUUUUAAAAAUAUUGUUAGUUAUGAUUUAAAUAAUAAAGUAAAAAAAUACUAUAAACAUCUUUAUGAUAUCUUAAUGAAAUGAAACAUUGAUUGAAUAAUUUCUAAUAAAUUGGGCACAAUAUAGUAUAUAAUUUUACUUCACAUCACCACCAACCUAGUGUCGCUACUGCUAUCACCACUAUCAUCACAACCAUUCCUAUAAUAAGAAUCAAUAUCAGCUGGUUACCAGCUAUAAUAUUCCCACAAUAUGACUAUUUUAAUGUGUGUGAUCCACAAAAUUAAGUCCACUGAUAUGCUGAAAAUAUGCAUUUCUUAGUGUGAUUAAUUACAAUAUGGGUAAUAGUAAGGAGCAAAGACAAUCACUGCCCCUUAGUCUUGGAUACUGUUCUUUUAAACUGAAAUGGUAAAUAAUGAGUUCAGAGUUACCAAAACCUCCAUAAUCUUAGGUAAAAACAGGGAAACACCAACUUCUUGCUAUUAGUGUUCUCUCUGUCUAUAACAACCGAUCUAUAAAUCCCUGUCUUUUGUAAAAAUUCACUUUGUGCUUUUGCUUCUACAGCUAAAAGUUUCUUUAGGACCAAAUUUUAAACCAACAAGCAACUUCAGUCUCUGAUGACUCAAUGAAAUUGUGGGAAAAGUUAAGAUGCUUUUUAAGGUUUAAGUACUGUAUUUGGACUAAUCAUAUGUUAUUUAGAGAUUACAAACUUUGUCACUAGCAGGAUAAAAAAAAGCUGGUUCCAAUAAAAUAAAAUAAAAAGUGGAAAAUCAUGUGCUGUGAUAUAUAAAAAAAGUAAAAAAUACCAAGAGCCCUAUUUGCAAUUAAAAAAGAAAUCGUUUUGUUGUAAGAAGGGUAAUCAACAUCAUUCAGAAGAAAUGCAUUUGUUUAAGGAUCAGUGUUGCAUAGAAUAAUUCCAGUACAACCUAGGAGUUUGGUCAGCUGCAAACUUGGCACACUUUGGCAGGAUCUUAUGCUCUCUGAAGGGGGAUGCUGGUGCACAAAAAGAAGCCCUGUGGUUAACUCUCUUGAUUGACCUGGCCCCAUUACUAGUUCUGUGGAACAGAGGGGCACGUAUAAUGGAAAGACUCUACUCUUUCAGAUCAAACAGCUACCAAGGGAUGAUCUUUGUUUUGGUGGCACCUCCAUUUGUUUUAUUCUAAAAGAAAUUGCAACUGGAAUGAAGUAAACUAACUGGCCAUACAUCCUCUCAUGCAUGUAAGCAGCUGCAGAAGAGGACCUAAGGUCAGCCAGAGUUUCCUUUUAAGGGCAAAUAGCAGAGCCUUUUUAUGUCAGAUCUUCCUGAAUCCUUUCCUCCCCAAUUAUGAGUGAUUUCUAUAAGCUUCCUAAAGUGCUAACUUCUGCUGGAAAUAUUCAUGGCAACCAUCAGCAGAUCUACUUGUCUCUAAAUAUAAAAUCUUAGCAAUAUCAAAUCUUUAGUGAUCUCUUCCCCACAUGUUCGUUUUAAAGCAAUAUCAAUGGUAAAUGACAUUGCAUUAUCAAGGGAGGGGGGAUACAAAAUAGAGGGAAGAAAAGUGACUGUUAUCUUUCUU
rnacentral:lncRNA from 1 species